CCGCGGAGAGGAGGGGGAGCUCCGCGGGGCGCGCCGCCGGCUUCUGCGCGAGCGACGACGCUGCUCUCCCCGGCCGACCCCGUCUCCUCCGCGCUCCGCGGAGGGCUGCAGGGAGCAUCCUUUAUCCUUGGCAGCGUCUAUCCUUCGCCAGGAAGAGCCAGCUGUCUUUGGUCCCUCGUGCCUGGCCAUUCCCAGGCUGGAUUCUUCGGAGGUGGGCUUUUACACACUCCUCAGUGGAUUCUGACUUCUGUGUCGGACCGGCCUGGGCAGUACUGCAUCUCCUGACCAGGGACCGAAAGUGCCCUGGUAGCCUCCCUCCACACCCGGAUUCUCGUCAGGAAGAGCUGACCCAGGCAUUCAGGUAUCAGGAUCAGUGAUGAACUUUCAAAAAGAAAAAAUAUGGAAAAAUCAUCGAAAUUGUCAUAAUCUGUGCUCCCAACUAAAUAAGUGUUUCCUUGUAGCAUGUGCAGAGUCAAGGGAAAUUACAUUCCUGUAUUAUACAGUCUGCCAACAGCCUAUCUGCAUACUGUCUUCAUCUAGACUAUUCUUGAAAGCACACCCUGAGACAAACGUAGACAUAUUCUACUUGGAAAUGUGGUCCCAGGGAACAAGGAUGAGACAGAGGGGAGAAAACAGGUGGAAAAGGAAAGAAUGUCCAAGCAAAAAAGGCAGUGUUAUUGAGUGCCUAGUGCUCUUGGCUGCUUAGUGCAGAACCUUCCCAGGAUCCUAAUUAAACUGUGUCUCAGGAUUGUCUGCCUGAGGGAUGAAAAGAAGCAGCAUGUAUCUCUCAGCUGACAUCACCUGUGUGCUGAGGCCGCUCCCACGCGGCAGCAACUCCCCACCCAGGAGAGCGUCACUGGUGCUACAGCAUCGCGUGUGUCGCAGCAGAGAAGCUUCGGGACAGGAAGCUAGAUUCUUGCUAUAAGCCUGGGAUGAGGCACUGUCAGCGCAGAGGCGGGGGCAGCCUGCCCGGAGCUGUUCACCAAAGGCGCGGCUGGAACUGGAGGUGGGAGAGAUGGGAGCCAGUGCGCAGGAGGCAUCUCAGCAGCCUGGAGAACAUGCUGUUAGCCUUGCCUCAGUCUAUACUCUCUCUCCUUUCCAUCAUCACAAUUGCAUUGUCCAGAACAGAGCUUGGCAGAGGGCUAAAUAGGAAGGCCAAAUGUAUUUCCUAGAAGCUGUAUGUUAAUAACAGUUUUAACCUUGAGUAAUGCUCAUAAGAAAUAGAAAGUGACACUCGAACUUGAAAAAACUUAAGUUACUCCACUUGAAACAUUUUAGCGUUGGAUAGCAGUAUUGGGUAUCCUCUAAGUUCAUGUAAUCUGAGAUGUAAUCAUAAAUUGGAGAAAUAAAAUCAACCAUUUCUUAUA